GCCGCUGGUACCUCUGCGUCCCCUCCGGACCGUCCUCUUCCACAUCGGUGUCAGCGGCGUCUCUGUCAAGGACCUCCACCUCCGCCGCGUUGUCCCUCCCGCUGCCGGCUCCCUCGACACCUCUCCCCGCCCCCAUAUCCUGCGCCAGCGCUGCUCAUCCCGCUAGCACACGCCACUGUGGAUCUAGAUCCGACACUGGCUGUGCGGGAUUAGUCGGCGUGCGUGCUUAGCAGCGUCUGCCGAUGGAUGGAGAAUGGUGGAAUCGAGAAGGCCGGUGUCACCCACAAGAUCGACAUCAGCGAUGGCCCCGUGCUCCCAGUCCCGUCCGCCUCGAAUCCAUUCGUUUGCCUGCACAGGAGAAGAACCACGCGUCGUUCGACUUCAUCUUCAUGGACGCCGACAAGGACAACUACCCCGAGCGACUGCUCAAGCUGGUGAGGCCGGGUGGCCUCAUCGGCUACGACAACAUGCUGUGGAACGGCUCCAUCGUGCUCCUGGACGACGCGCCCAUGCGCAAGUACAUCCGCUUCUACCGCGACUUCGUGCUCGCCCUCAACAUGGCGCUCGCCGCCGACGAGCGCGCCGAGAUCUGCCAGCUCCCUCGUUCAUGUGGUGCUGUGUAUCGGAAGAAAAUGCGACAUCAAACUUCGCCGCCAUCGACGCAAGCUUGGGAGAUGCGACGGGGGAAGGUGUGGCGGCGCGGGGGCUUGCGACGAGAGGCGCGCGCGCGGCGAGCUCGGCCGUGGCACUGGGCUUCAGCGGGGAGGCGGAGAAGCCCCGCGAGGAGGGCAAGCUGAUGUUGAGUUCGGCGGACGAGGGGCCCGGCGACGACGACGCAGUUGAAGAGCCGACUCCACGGACGGUGCAAUUGCGGGUACGUGGUGCAGCCCCUGUCACCGUCCCUAUUCUUGGAAGUGGAACGGCUAGCAGCCCCUAUCGCCGCCUUUGCCUAGCUCCACGGCUCCGCCCCUGUUCUUCCCAUCCUUUCGAAUGCUAGCUGAAGGUCUAUUGAAUCUGGGCAUGGUUGAUUAUCUUAUUAGUGCUAUUGAACUAAUUAUAGAAAAGGCCAAAUUCAGAGAAUCUAAUGUUUCUGCUAUAAGAGGAUAUCUCAAGAUCCGCAAGUAUUAUGAUGCAUUAGCAGCUUUUGGUUGUCUCCUAGAGAUAAACAACCCUCAGUGGAUGUAUCGUUGAUACAGCAUGCUUGAGAAUGUAUCGUGUAAAAUGACGGAGUCGAUGAAAAGUUUCGUGGUUGCUAGACUGGCUUAAACUUUUGUAGCAGUGGUGUACUAGAUGUCAAUCUCAUUGGUCUGUAUGAAUGAAGUUAGCAGAAUUUGGGAUGCUCUCUUGCUUCUGGAGAGCUGCUUACCUUCAAUGUCCACCGUGAAUCCUCUUUUGAGGCUCUUGUAUAUCUUGGGUAGCUCGCUAAUGAUCACAAUAUUCUUGCUGCACUUUCAUAUGAUGCUACAUUUAUCAUCACUUUUAAUAAUUUGGGAGUCUUUUCAGUAUUUUUGUUUUUCACAUACUAAAACUUUUAAUAAUAUCACAACUUGCUUGAUUAUUAGUUAUCCUCAUUAGCUUGCAAGAAAUUAAUAAUAAUUAUAUGCUUCAAAUUUUAAAUACAAACUUCUGGUGCUGAUUCUUUUGCUAGCUUAGGCCAGUAUGCCCUGUAGCCAGCUGUUUACUACAGUUCUUUUAGCAAUAGGCAAAAUUUCAACUGCUUUUUAACUCACAAUGUGUUAGUUGGACGUUAAUAUUUUGUGUCAUAGUGUACAAAGCUGCUUUAUGAGCCGCAAUAGCACAUCUAAUAUCUACUGUAUGCAAGAUAAAAUUUUGUAUCAUAGAUAUAUUAGUGCAGCCGAUGGGUGAGGAGCGGCUGUAGCCCUACAGGAACCCGGCAAGGACAGGCCACCGUCCCAACUCGCCUUGUCUUACCUCAUCAGUCAUCCCUGCCCUCACCUUCUCAGGCAUCUCCAGAUACUUGGAGGUAUUUGGGCUGAUAGGAUUGGUGAUCUAGGAUGCAAGUCGUUGUAAAAGAAUAAGAACUAUGGAAAGCCAUCGCAUGCGUGUAGGUGCUCUUGCAUGGAGUUCUUUGCUUUCUUCUAGAAGCCGUGAUAGGAGCAUCCUCCACCAUGAUAUCCGUGCUCAAGAAGAUUAUGUUAGCAAGCUUACCGGGCACAAAUCUGAGGACUAUGGCGCAUCACAGUGUAUGUCUGCAAUUGCUGGCUCCUAUGGCUAUAUUGCUCCAGAUUGCUAUCUUGUGGAUUUACAGGAAUGCAUAUACCCCUAAGGUCAAUGAGAAGAGCAUGUCUACACCUUUGGUGUCGUGCUUCUUGAGCUGGUCACCGGAAAGAAGCCAGUAGGUGAGUUUUGGGACGGCGUCAACAUUGUCCAUCGGGUCAAGUCGAUGACAAACACAAACAAGGAGCAGGUGAUCAAGAUCAUUGGCCCUAGGCUGUCGACCGUGCACACAAGGUCAUGCAUGUAUUCUGUGUUGCACUUCUCUGCGUCAAGGAGCAGAGCGUGCAACAGCCUAUGAUGCGGAAGAUGGUGCAGAUGCUCAACGAACUUCCCAAUCCAGCUGCAGGCAAGGAGAUGAGGUUCCCGACGGCGACGAUUUUUCCACUACACAAUCGGAUUCUUCAGCAGCAGAUGGAUCUAUUGAAGCGUCGUGUGACGAAGUCACCAAAGAGCAGCAGCAAACGAGAUCUUUGCUAUGUUUCCUUCUCCUUGCUAACCACUGAUCUCAUCAAGCUUGGUUUUUCUCAUUGCUAUGUUUCCCUCUCCUGGUGAUGUUAAGAUAUUUGGACAUUUCUAGCUUAUUAGGGCCUUGUGUGGAACAUGUUUGAACAAUUAUCUCAUUUAAACAAUGUCAA